UACAGGGGGCGCGAGCGUUGCUCGGAAUCACUGGGCGUAAAGCGUACGCAGGCGGGUCGAUAAGUCCGUUGUGAAAUCCCAGGGCUCAACCCUGGAACUGCGAUGGAGACUGUCGAUCUUGAGUACGGGAGAGGGGAGCGGAAUUCCUGGUGUAGAGGUGAAAUUCGUAGAUAUCAGGAGGAACACCGAUGGCGAAGGCAGAUCUCUGGGCCGUAACUGACGCUGAGGAGCGAAAGCAUGGGGAGCGAACAGG
rnacentral:rRNA from 1 species